UUAAAUUUUGCUCCUUUGCUAAGAGCUGCCUGGGGUAAAGAGGUUAUCAGAUAAAUUCUGGUUCAAAUUCCAGCCCCAGUGUAUCUUUAUAGUAGCCUUCUUUUCUUAAAGCUUCCUAAAAGGUUUGCUUCUUAUAGGCAAAAUUAUUUUCCUAACCCUGAUUGGUAAAUGUUUACAAGUCUUUAAAUUUAGUAGGAUCCAGUCAAUCAAUGUGUAUUUUUUUGAUGUAUAGUUUAUAUACAAUAAAAUGCACCCAUUUUUAGUGAACAGUU